UAGGGAAUCUUCCACAAUGGACGCAAGUCUGAUGGAGCAACGCCGCGUGAGUGAAGAAGGCUUUCGGGUCGUAAAACUCUGUUAUUGAAGAAGAACGUGUGUGACAGUAACUGGUCAUGCAGUGACGGUAUUCAAUCAGAAAGUCACGGCUAACUACGUGCCAGCAGCCGCGGUAAUACGUAGGUGGCAAGCGUUGUCCGGAUUUAUUGGGCGUAAAGCGAGUGCAGGCGGUCUUUUAAGUCUGAUGUGAAAGCCUUCGGCUUAACCGAAGAAGGGCAUCGGAAACUGGGAGACUUGAGUGCAGAAGAGGAGAGUGGAACUCCAUGUGUAGCGGUGAAAUGCGUAGAUAUAUGGAAGAACACCAGUGGCGAAGGCGGCUCUCUGGUCUGUAACUGACGCUGAGGCUCGAAAGCGUGGGUAGCAAACAAGGAUU
rnacentral:rRNA from 1 species